UGUGGCGGCAGCUACACAUGCAGUCGACGGUAGCACAGAGAGCUUGCUCUCGGGUGACGAGUGGCGGACGGGUGAGUAAUGUCUGGGAAACUGCCUGAUGGAGGGGGAUAACUACUGGAAACGGUAGCUAAUACCGCAUAACGUCGCAAGACCAAAGUGGGGGACCUUCGGGCCUCAUGCCAUCAGAUGUGCCCAGAUGGGAUUAGCUAGUAGGUGGGGUAAAGGCUCACCUAGGCGACGAUCCCUAGCUGGUCUGAGAGGAUGACCAGCCACACUGGAACUGAGACACGGUCCAGACUCCUACGGGAGGCAGCAGUGGGGAAUAUUGCACAAUGGGCGCAAGCCUGAUGCAGCCAUGCCGCGUGUAUGAAGAAGGCCUUCGGGUUGUAAAGUACUUUCAGCGGGGAGGAAGGCGUUAAGGUUAAUAACCUUGGCGAUUGACGUUACCCGCAGAAGAAGCACCGGCUAACUCCGUGCCAGCAGCCGCGGUAAUACGGAGGGUGCAAGCGUUAAUCGGAAUUACUGGGCGUAAAGCGCACGCAGGCGGUCUGUUAAGUCAGAUGU
rnacentral:rRNA from 1 species